rnacentral:tRNA from 1 species
GGACGAGUGAUCUAGCCCGGUUAUGAUGUCACGCUUACACCGUGAUUGUCGUGGGUCCGAAUCCCACCUCGUCCA